UACAGGGGGUGCAAACGUUGCUCGGAAUCAUUGGGCGUAAAGCGCGCGCAGGCGGUCCUUUAAGUCUGAUGUGAAAGCCCUCGGCUCAACCGAGGAGGGUCAUUGGAAACUGGAGGACUUGAGUGCAGAAGAGGAAAGUGGAAUUCCAAGUGUAGCGGUGAAAUGCGUAGAGAUUUGGAGGAACACCAGUGGCGAAGGCGACUUUCUGGUCUGUAACUGACGCUGAGGCGCGAAAGCGUGGGGAGCAAACAGG
rnacentral:rRNA from 1 species